rnacentral:rRNA from 1 species
ACUUCGGUGCGAGUACAGCGGCGGACGGGUGAGUAACGCGUAGGAAUCUACCCGGUAGUGGGGGACAACUUGUGGAAACGCAAGCUAACACCGCAUACGCCCCAAGGGGGAAAGCGGGGGAUCUUCGGACCUCGCGCUAUCGGAUGAGCCUGCGUAGGAUUAGCUAGUUGGUGGGGUAAAGGCUCACCAAGGCGACGAUCCUUAGCUGGUCUGAGAGGAUGAUCAGCCACACUGGGACUGAGACACGGCCCAGACUCCUACGGGAGGCAGCAGUGGGGAAUAUUGCGCAAUGGGGGCAACCCUGACGCAGCCAUGCCGCGUGUGUGAAGAAGCCUUAGGGUUGUAAAGCACUUUCAAUUGGGAAGAAAAGUUGCAGGUUAAUAACCUGCAGCCCUGACAUUACCUUUAGAAGAAGCACCGGCUAACUCCGUGCCAGCAGCCGCGGUAAUACGGAGGGUGCGAGCGUUAAUCGGAAUUACUGGGCGU